UUUACCUGUCUUACAUCUUCAUCACAGAAGAAAGAUUGAGAAACUACUACCCAUAAAUAGAUAAAUAUAAAGUCAAUUUAAGAUACUAGUUAUGAUUUAGUUAUGAUCAAUAAGGAUUUAGGAUUACAAUUACAAGGGCACAGAGUGGCCAGAUUGACAAACUACAGGGUUCUUAUUCCUCCAUUAAAAGAAACAGAUAUUCUCAUAACAGAAAAAAAAAAAAAAAAAA
rnacentral:misc_RNA from 1 species